UACGCAUAUACAUCAGGACUCAAAAAGUCAUAAAGAAAAGUGCAAAUCGAAUUCAAAGUAAAUACAAAGCAGAGAAGAAAAGUAAAGAAAGAACAAAAAAAAAAAGCCGACCAUUAGAACCACUUUCUCCCAAAAAACUCAAUAUAAAGAACCAACUAAAACUCUCCAAUCUCUGGAAACCAAGAAUGCAUGAAGCCAUCAACAAAAUCCAAUAGAGAGUGGAGCUUCAGUGUCAUCAUCGGAGUGAAGUAUAAAAUUUCCCAUGAACCAAAGCCAAAACAACCUAGGGCAAAAAGGAAUAGUUUGACUUAUCUAUCUCCGCGACUCACUCCACCAUCUCUAGUGCUUCCUCAAUCCAGAAUCGUUCCUUAGGAUAGCGACACCCCUCCUUAGCCAAGGUGUGAGUCGCAGUAUUUGCUUCUCUCUUAACAUGAUGGAAAGUAAUCUGCUCAAGAAAACCCAACAUGUGUUUGAUAUCAACUAUAAUUGGACUGAGAACUGAUCUAUCAUUCGUGUUUGUAUGUAAUUUCUUUAUAAUCAUCAAUGGAUCCCCCUCAAUCUAGACGUGGUGGAAACCAAUCUCCUGCGCAAACCGAAUUGCUUACUCGCAUGCCCAAGCUUCCACAAAAAGGCAUCUGCAAUAUUAGUACAAGGGUAAGUACAAGCCCCCAAAAUCAGCCAUUUUCCAUUUCUUGCAAUAAUUCCUGAGAUAGAUGUUUUCUCUUGAAGAUUAAAAGAUGAAUUAAAGUUAAAUUUAAUAAAGUCCGGACUAGGUGGUCUUCAAUAAAUUUGUGUAGUGGGGUAACUACGGUAUCGUGCUGUUUCUAGGGCUUCGAUUUAGUAAGGUAGCCUAAAAUGAACACUACUAAAUCAUUCAUUGUUUGUCUUAUACCCUCAUGGAUUAUUUUAUUUCGUGCCAACCAAAUAGACCAAACAAUUAGAGUCACCAAUUUUCUAUUUCUGUCAUCUGUUGUUUGGAAAACCUCUACUAACCAAGAUUUGUAAUCUAGAUGAUUCGACAUAGGGGGCACUAUAAUUUGCAAAAAUGUCAAAAUCUGGCUUGUUACUGAGCAGAAACCUAGCAGGUGAUCAAUAGAUUCCAAAUCUAUUUGACAUAAUAGACAAAGAACAUGAAUAGUAAUAUGACGUUUGUUUAGAUUAGCAUACAUAGGUAUAAAAUCAUUGUAUAUUUUCCACGUUGUAAUUUUAAUCUUAUCUGGAAGUUGUAAUGCCCAUAAAUUCGAGAAGAAAUUAUUUGCAAAGGUAGUCAUAUGAGUAGGCAAUUUUUUUUGUAGUUCAGAGUUUCCAUGUACAAGUAGCUUGUCACCAAUCUUUACUAUAUACACCCUCGAUU
rnacentral:lncRNA from 1 species